GAGAAGGAUGCAGACCGUCAGCUCCUGCAGAGGGAAAGCCAGUGAGCCUGGACCGGGGCGUCAGCCGAGCUGAGGCCGUACCGGAGACCCUGGGGAGGGACGCCUGCCGCGAGGGACCUACGGGGGAACCGCUCCCACAACACCGAUGUCCGGCUAGACAGGCUGCUGCCACUGUGGCCUUCACCACCACACAACGCCUGAGCCAGAUAAGGAAGAAAAAGAUGAGGACUUGGGAUAACCUUUCAGCAAGAUCCUGCAAGCCAGUGCUGCAUCAGACCAUGAGCAUGAACACUGCGAUCAGCCUGAAGAAGGAAAGAGUGGUGAGGAGACAGGAGUCCCAGCAGGAAAAGGAGAGAGAGAUGCACCAGGACACAAUGGGGCUUCUCAAGCAAUAAGCACAGAUGCUGUAGACUCUGGUGGAUCUGCAGAUUCAACAAUCCAGUGCUUGCCUCCCUCUGCAGCCCACUGAGAACUGAAUAUUGGGAUCUCUGUAUACAUUCCACAUGGCAUCAGGGGUCACUGCACUACCCCUACCACUCCACUCCAGGGAACAUUAAAGACAAUCACAUCUUCACGUACACUAACCUCUGAAAGCCAUGAUUGGUGUACAUGUUGCUAAAAUGGACAUAAUGUUUUUUCCCCUUCAUAAGUUCUGUUCUCUUAAUUUAUUAGGUUUUUAAGGUAUUUGUUUUAAAAUCACGGGUUUUUUCAUAGAUUUUGUUACAGAAUAAAAUUCUAUUUGGAGCAUUAUUCAUCUUUAUUAGUACACAACAUAUGCCGCCAAGCGCUCAGCAGUUCUGAAAAUACCUACUUACCUCUUACUGCACAAUGUCACACAACUAAUAGGAUCAUUCACAAACAAAAUGAAUAGGUGCAUUGACAAUGUUACAUUCCUACAUGUACAGCAAUCACCAUACAAUUCCUACCAGGCUACAAAAGCGCAAGGCCAAGUAGAGCACACUAUAACACACACUACUCUGGCUUGCUGUUAAAAUGGUCUUUCAAAGCCUUCCUGAGCCUUUGAGCUCUUCUAAUAGCCCUUGUUCAAAUUCAGCAGACAGCCACUCCAUCUCCACCCUGGUGGAAACAUUUCCCCCUUUGCUUUAUGACAGACACAGCAGGCAGUGAUAACCAUUGGGAUAUUUUUCCCACUGAGUUCCCAUAUUGUGAGUAAACAAUUCCAGCAACCCUUCAAACAAUCAAAAGCACAUUCAACGGUCAU